rnacentral:rRNA from 1 species
CACGUAGGGGGCAAGCGUUGUCCGGAUUUAUUGGGCGUAAAGAGCUCGUAGGUGGUUCGAUAAGUCGGGUGUGAAACCUCCAGGCUCAACCUGGAGACGCCACCCGAUACUGUCGUGACUAGAGUCCAGUAGGGGAGCGUGGAAUUCCUGGUGUGAGCGGUGAAAUGCGUAGAUAUCAGGAGGAACACCGGUGGCGAAAGCGGCUCAUCUGGCCCAAUACUGACGCUGAGGCGCGAAAGCUAGGGGAGCAAACGGG